rnacentral:lncRNA from 1 species
CUAUAUUGAUAAUAUUUUAUCGCAAUCGAGUAAUUUUUUACCUUUCAAGGAUGAGAGCAAAAGGAGCAAUGACUAUAGUAGCAAAGGCAUUUCUAUAGACAACAAGAACAUAAUGACUCAUGCCUCUAUUAAGUGAAACUUUGGUUAUAAUAUUCAUUCCUGCAUAACCAAAUUGUAAAGAAAUCAUAGCUAUAUAAGGUUUUGAUCUUUGAAAAAAACUACAAUUACAUUCUUCUUUAAUUCUCUCCAUUUUUUGAAGUGAAAAAAUGGAAUUGAGAGGAAAAAAAACUAUGAAAAUGAGAAUUUGUGUUUUUUCUAUUGAAAAAGAAAUGAGAUAUGUUACAUUUUUAUAGACAAAAGGGCCAAAAGGCAAAAGCUAAUUAGGGGAUCUAUACCAACUCCCGAGCAUCUUAAACUUGUCAGAAUAUUUCAUAUAGACACUCGAACUAAGUCUUGUUUCAAUUAUUAAACACAUCUUAAAAAGUGUUUCAAUUAGACAGUUUCGAUUCAAAGUUUUUGAAUUUCUUUUUGAUGCGUGUUUUGAUUUGUCUAUUAGAUAGUUAUUUUAACUACAUAAAUUAAUAUGUCAUUUCUUUUGAUUAUACGAUCAAUCUCAAGUUGAAAUGUUUGAGGGAUUUCGACCAAUUGAGCGAAAUGACAUAUUUUAUCCAGGUUAACUUAACUACCUAAUAAACGAAGGAUAACACACACGUCCCCCCCCCCCCCCACAAAUAUGAACGGAAAGUGCUUAGUUGGAACACUUUAUUAGGAGUUGAGGUAUUCAAUUGAUUAAACUUUUCAAAUUUCUAAAUGAAAUAUCAUGACAAAUUUAAAAGAUUGGUCAUGUAUUAAGCCAUAUUAAUUAGUAGUUUAGUACUAUAUAAAAGUGAGAAUAUUACUUACGUAAGAGUUUCAUGUGUGUGAGAAUCUCAUACUCACACGUCAGUGUAAUUUGCACUAACAUUGAAUCUUAUUGAAUAUUCUGAUUUGUUUUUCUUGUUUGUUAUAUAAAAUAAUCCAUAUAGAGCUUUACGAUUAUUAUUUUUUUGGCGUGGAGAGGGGGGAACGAGAUUUGAUCCUUCAACAAUACGUGAAGGACGGAGGGCCUCAACGAACUGAGCUACCCUUUCACCCUAGACGUGUGAGAUAGAUUCGCGCCACUAAUUGAUAUAUCAAUUUUGCGAAUGAAAUCAUUAAAGUUAGAACAACUUUCACAUAUAGCAAACACAAAAAUCAUAUUUGUAUGCUAUAUUACAUAAUUGCGCUCCAUAGCAAACUUUAUGCUGCGCUCUAUAGCAAACUUUAUGUUUGAUAUGGCUAUUAAUAUGUAUAUUUCGCUAUACAUAUACAAAAGAAAGCAAUUGUAUAAUAUGUUUCGAUAUACAUAUACAAAAGAAUCAAUUGUAUCUGUGUUUGUAUAAAGCAAGAAAGAGAGAAAGAUAAAAGAAAACUGGGCAGGGGAAAAUCGUAUUUGUAUAAUCAUAAGUGUAUAAGACGAAAAUAUAUGCAUUUGUAUUUGUAUAUACAAUUUUCUCUCGCUUUAUACAAACACAAACGCAAUGUAUACAUUUGUGUUUGUAUAAAGUGAGAGAGGCGAGUGAGAGUGGCGAGCGAGAUCUGGAAGAGGGGAGAGAGGAGAAUGAAAAUAUAUGUAUUUUUACAAUUUUCUCUCGCUUUAUACAAACACAUUUUAUACAUUUGUGUUUGUAUAAAAGCGAGAGAGGCGAGCGAGACUGUCCAACGAGAACAAGAGUGGCGAGCGAGAUUCACCAGGAAGAGAGGCGAAAUAGCAACAGUUUGCUAUGAGAUACAAUUAAAUCAAACUAUGAUUAUAACAUUUAAUUUGAAUUAAUAGUUUGGUAUUAUAUAUAAUUUUCCCUUAAUAGUUAUAUAUUGAAAGUUAGUUAGAAAAUUAAUUCUAAAUAAAAAGGAAUAAAGUAUUAUUAAUGUUGUUAUUAUUAUUAUUAUUACAAUUUCCUUUUUAGUGCUAACACUCAUGCUACACUCAAAGGAGGUUGGUGGUGGGGUCCACUUUAAUGAGGGACCCAAGAGGCUAUCGUCAAUCCGAUAAACUAAAUUAUAAUUUAAAAUUAAUAGCCUAAAAAUUUUGAUUUUGUCUUUAAUCAUAACUUAUAAAUCUACUUGGGAAACAUUCAGUAACAUACAUACAUUAACUUUGUUUAUUAUGGUUAAUAUCUUGUUUAGUGCACUUUUUUAAUCUACACUCUAACCUGUAGAUCUAAAAGAAUAUGAUUAUAAGCCUGAUCGAAUAUUGUUUGUCCAUAAAUAAAACAAAAACAAAUUUAGAUUUAUGUGAAGAGACAGAAAGCAUGAAAAAUGAGGUCCAAAUAUUCCUUAAUCUCAACCAUGUAUGGUAUAUAUGUCCUCUUAUUAGUCUGUUUUGUCAAAUUUUAAAAAAUUAUAUAUAUACUAGCUAGAAGAAACUAAAUAUUUUUUGAAACGAAAAGGAAAAGCAACAUUUUCUCAUAAGUAUUUUGAAACAUUAGCCAAGUAUUAUAAAGUAUGACUUUAAUAUUAAUAAAGUAUUUUAAAAAUUAAUUAAUUAAAUAUAAAUGGCUAUUCUCCAAGAAUAUAUUUUUUGAUAAAAUAAGAACUCGUGUAUAAGGUGGGGUGGAUUCCUCAGCACCCAACAGACUGGAACUGAUUAAUUACAUGAAUUGGGAUAAUACUAUAUAUAUAUAUAUAUAUAUAAAGUUUAGGAAUAUAACAAUGGCUAGUGGAAUUAUUGUUAUACGUGGGAUUAAAAUUUCAACGUAUAUUUAGAUACCCUUUUUAUUUUUAUUCCUCGAGGAUCACAAUUUUCCAAUUUAUCGCCUAACAUAGCAUUUCAUCUACCCCAUUUGAAAUUCGUGAUAUUUUUUAAAGUUUCGUUUCAAUUUGUUUGUCCACUUUUAACUUCAUAAAGAGUUAUUGAUAUGGAUCGUAAUGUAAUGAUAGAACUGUUCUAUCAUUAAUUAGAGGUAUCGAGUUCGAGCUCUGUAUAUGAAGAAGAUCUUGUUGGGAGCGUCACCCCAGAAUAAGUCAUGCAAUGCGCUAUCCAAAUUAGUACUCCAACACUCCCCGGCCCGCUAAUUUGCUAAAAUGAUUUUAUUCUCGUGACUUUUUAAACUUCUUUGAACUUAAUGAAAAAGUUGAAAUCGAUUAGUCACAUACAUAUAACUCGAUUAAUUUAUAUAAAUUGAUAUAUUUACUGAAUACGUCGCUUGUAUUUCACUAAAGUGCCUUUCAUAAAAGAGCAUGCAUGUGGAUCACAAAAUUCCACAAACAAAGGAGAUUGAUUUGAAAUCUCCUCACUAAUAUCUUGUCUAAAAUAAUUUGUAUAUCUUUAUUUUUUUUAUAAAAAAAAAGACAUUACAAAACUAAUUAAUGGACAUGGCCAGCCUAAAAAGAAACAAAUCUGAUCAUAGUGAUAGUUUUUUAUUUCAUGAAAAUAAUAAACAAAAGUAUUGAAAGUUUCACAAAACGGUUUUUGUCAACUUUACUAAUAAUGAAAUUUGCAUGUUGUCAAAGACCAGAUCAUCCUCUCAUUUCUAUCUUUUUUUUUUUUUCGAUAUUUGAUAUUUGUAUGCUAUUUUGAUCGAUUCAAAUUUAUGGUAUGUAAAGCCCGUUAAAAACAAGAAAAGUGUACGCUAUCAUAGGUCUUUCGAAUUUCUCCAUAAACUCCUAAGCAACAUAUGUUGAAAUUUGAUUUGCUACUUCUACUCUACUUAACUUAAAAUAAAAAAUGAAAUGAAAUUCAAUUGGUCAAGAAAAAGAACUGUGCUAGUCUGAAUUUGAGGAAAGAUAGAGAGAUCUCUAGGUUCUCUCAAUCAAAUUAAAAGUUCGCUUUACCAGUUCAUGAAUAUGCACACCCAACAAUUCGAGGAGUUGGCCUGAUACGGGUCAAAGUCUCGUUUCAAAAAAGUCAGGACUUUUGGACAUAUAUACAAAAUUUUAUUUUAUUUUUAAAACUUAAAUUCGAAAUCUUAAUUAAUUAAGAAUGAAAUGAUCGUAUAUCUUUCCUACUUUGUUCUUAUUGUGCACACAUCUUUGUUCUUUUGUCUAUUUGUUUAUCUUGAUCUUGAAAUAUUAACUUUGUCAAUCAGCAAUGACUUAAAUAGAAAUUUAAAAGGAAAAGUUACAUAAUUAGACAUAUUUUACUAUCAUAUAUACUUAACUUAUCUAUAGUUAAAAAAAUUACACAUAAUUUCUCUUUUAAUAUUUAUACCAUAUAUUUUAAAAUAUUUAAUCAGAUACACAAAUUCUUUAAAUAUGAUAUUGAAUAAUUAUCUUAAAAUUUAAACUCUUUAAUUAAUGGUAAAAUUUCAUUCAAAUUAUUUUCUAUCACCCAAUCCCUUUACAUCUUUCGCCCCACCCCCACCCCCACCCCCNNNNNNNNNNNNNNNNNNNNNNNNNNNNNNNNNNNNNNNNNNNNNNNNNNNNNNNNNNNNNNNNNNNNNNNNNNNNNNNNNNNNNNNNNNNNNNNNNNNNNNNNNNNNNNNNNNNNNNNNNNNNNNNNNNNNNNNNNNNNNNNNNNNNNNNNNNNNNNNNNNNNNNNNNNNNNNNNNNNNNNNNNNNNNNNNNNNNNNNNNNNNNNNNNNNNNNNNNNNNNNNNNNNNNNNNNNNNNNNNNNNNNNNNNNNNNNNNNNNNNNNNNNNNNNNNNNNNNNNNNNNNNNNNNNNNNNNNNNNNNNNNNNNNNNNNNNNNNNNNNNNNNNNNNNNNNNNNNNNNNNNNNNNNNNNNNNNNNNNNNNNNNNNNNNNNNNNNNNNNNNNNNNNNNNNNNNNNNNNNNNNNNNNNNNNNNNNNNNNNNNNNNNNNNNNNNNNNNNNNNNNNNNNNNNNNNNNNNNNNNNNNNNNNNNNNNNNNNNNNNNNNNNNNNNNNNNNNNNNNNNNNNNNNNNNNNNNNNNNNNNNNNNNNNNNNNNNNNNNNNNNNNNNNNNNNNNNNNNNNNNNNNNNNNNNNNNNNNNNNNNNNNNNNNNNNNNNNNNNNNNNNNNNNNNNNNNNNNNNNNNNNNNNNNNNNNNNNNNNNNNNNNNNNNNNNNNNNNNNNNNNNNNNNNNNNNNNNNNNNNNNNNNNNNNNNNNNNNNNNNNNNNNNNNNNNNNNNNNNNNNNNNNNNNNNNNNNNNNNNNNNNNNNNNNNNNNNNNNNNNNNNNNNNNNNNNNNNNNNNNNNNNNNNNNNNNNNNNNNNNNNNNNNNNNNNNNNNNNNNNNNNNNNNNNNNNNNNNNNNNNNNNNNNNNNNNNNNNNNNNNNNNNNNNNNNNNNNNNNNNNNNNNNNNNNNNNNNNNNNNNNNNNNNNNNNNNNNNNNNNNNNNNNNNNNNNNNNNNNNNNNNNNNNNNNNNNNNNNNNNNNNNNNNNNNNNNNNNNNNNNNNNNNNNNNNNNNNNNNNNNNNNNNNNNNNNNNNNNNNNNNNNNNNNNNNNNNNCUGCGAUCUUCUCUCACCCCCACCCCCACGAUCUUCAAACACCUCCAUCAUCUCCCUCUCUUCCUUAUCCUCUCAAUACAUGUUUAUAUCCCAACGUAAAACCUAAUUACUAGUUAAAAAAAAAUUUAUUAUGUAUCUUGGUUUACAUCUCAUUCAUGUAUCUGAGAUAGAGUUUGUAUUGCUCUAACGUUCGAUUUUAUAAACUUUUACAAAUUAGGUUUUACGUUGUUUGUUUUUGUUGUUUCUCAACUAUUUUAAUGGAUGAGCAUUCAAUAAAUCGGAUGAUUCUUAUUAAAGGUAUCUCCGUAACAAUUCUAUUCAAUUCAGGCCUUUUUUUCAUUGAGGAUUUUGUUAUGUAUUUUGUCAAGCAGGGUCUUCAUCUGCCAACAUUCAAGUCGAAAAUAGAUCUAAGUUUAGGAAGACUAAAUCAAAAUGAAAGAAUUACGCAGAGCUUUAAUUAACAUAACAUAUACACAAUUAAACCCUUUAAAACUGUUGGAUACAUGUAUCUGCCCUUUAAAUCAAAUUAAUAAAUUGUGUCUCUCAACUUUUAAAAUUGUUGAUACACAUAUCUCGCCUUUAAUGAUACUUGUAUCUCACCUUUGUUACCAAAAAAGGAACUGGUGAAGAAGAUGAAAGAAAUUGAUGAAGAAGAUCAAGUUUAAGAUUACAGAAUUACUUUGGUUUAUGAUUUUGUUAUCUUAGGAAAACUUGUCAGAGUUGAUACACAAGCAUCUUAUAAAUCAGUUUGGGUUGUUAAAGAGUAAUCAAUUAAUCCUUUAAUUAAGGAAAUAAGAUACACCCUCUUUAAUUCAAAUUACUAACUCGCGUAUCUUGAUUUUUCAAAUUGUUGGAUACACGUAUAUCUCGCAACCAAAAUAUGAUAUAGAAAGUAAUAUUACAAACUAUCGUGUAAUUAGGAUCUAAAGUAGAGGGGUUUAUUUAGUUUGUCCAAUUUAAAAACCACCUUUGUACAUUACCAUGACUUUAAAAUUGUGGGACAAAACCACUUAUUACUAAAAUAUGUGCGUAUGCAACUCAUCUAUGUUUAAAUGUAUUUUUAGACUGUGCUAAACACACCAAAAUGAAUAUUAAUAAAAGUAACAAAUAAAAUCAAUAUGAACAAAGGUAACAAAUAAAAUGAAUGACAUGUAAAAAUGAAAUUUAACAAAAAUAAUGAUUUAAUCAAGCUGAAAAAUGUUUGAACAUAUUCAACCGACUAUGACAAAAAUAAUGUUAUCAAAAUUAACGAAUACAAAUUCUAACAUUUUGAGAAAAUAAGAAUAAUUAUCGAUAAAUUGCAUUAAAACUGCAAAAUAUGUAUUUUGAACUAUUAAUGAAUAAAAUACUCAAAAAUAUUAACUUAAAAAAUAUUAUACCAAAAUUGGUGUCGUUCUAAAAAAUCCAUUUAUGGCGCCAUGAAAUGGAUUAUGAAGACAAAUCAAAUUCUGUCGAAUUUUACAGAGCCUUUAAGAAAUAUUAAUAUGUCGGUGAUUAAUAUUGCACACUUCUAGAUAUAUGAAGUCUAAUUUUAACUUUUUGUCUAUGCUCUUUGCGUUUGCAAAUACGAAGCUUGACGAGCUAGCCCUUGUUUUUACGACUGUUCUUGAUCCUGUACUUGCAAGAAUAUACCAACCCUCAUAACAAGAAAAAGAAUUGACUAUGGCUCGAAAAAGUUGUGAAAUUUUGGAAUUCGAUGGUAUAUUUGAUGAACUCAUUAUUGUAGGCCUAGAAAGUGAAAUGCGUGGUGGAAGGUGUGCGAAGUUUAUAGUUUUUCCCGUAGGUGGAUUAAUCUUAGUAGGUUGUAUCGUUGUAAAAGUUGUUCCUACAUUCAAUAAUAGUUACGUGUAACUUACUAUGUUGAUUCUGUGAAUCAAUACUUAUGAAUGUGACUAUAUAUUUUUAAGGAGUGUGCCAACAAUUCAUUAUAUAUUACUUUAACUCAGCGUUUCCACCAAAACAAGAAGAUUUUGGAAGAAGUUUAUGAAUUGAAUAUGUAGUAGCAUGCCUAAGAAAACUUAAUAAGCAAAAAAUAAUAAUUUAUAACAUGAGAUAUCUGCCAUGCAUACGAAAAAAAUAAUGCAUAUAUUAACUUUAUUUAUUAUAAGUACCUUAUUUUGUUCACUUUUUAAAUUUAUGCCCGACUUAGAAAUCUAAAAAAAUUAAUCAUAGUUCUGACCAAAUAUCAUUUGUCUACGGAUAAAACAAAAACAAAUUUUGAUUUAUGUAGAGAGCAUGGAAAAUGAGGUCCAAAUAUUCCAUAAUCUCGACUGUAUAUAAUAUUAUAUAUGUCCUCUUAUUAAUCUGUUUGAUCAAAUUGUAAGAAAUUAUAUAUAUAAUUUUGAAUAAGAAAAAAUAACUUUUUCUCAUAAGUACUUGUGAAACAUUAGCCAAAUAUAAAGUAUUGCUUUAAUUAAUAAAAUAUUUUAAAAAUUAAUUAAUUAAAUAAUUAUAAAGGGUUAUUCUUUAUGAUUACUUUUUUGAUAAAAUAAAACUGAUGAAUAAGAUGAGCUCUAAGAUAAACUUAAAAAAUAAUUAAAAUAUAAUAUAUUUUUUUUGAAUUUAACGAGUGCACGUGCGGUGGGUCCACCUAUGAGCUGGGGUGGGGUAGAUUCCUCAGCACCCCACCCAACAGAUCUGAAACUGAUUACACUUAGGAAUUACUCUUUUUGUCCUAUUUUAUAUGAAUUAGUUUGACUCAGUAGUCGAUACAAAAUUUAAGAGAAGAUUUUUGAAACUUGUGAUCUAAAAUAAGUGAUAGAUAUUUUUGUGACUAUAAAUAUUUUAACUAGUGAUAAAAUGAGCAUUUUAAAGUUAAUACUUGAUAUAGAAAUAUAUCUUCUUUUUUUUUGAAAUUGACAAAAAAAAAAGUAAGUCAUAUAAAAUAGGACAAUGGAGUAUAUAUUAUAAAAAAGUUUAGGAAUAUAUCAAUAGCUAGUGGGAUGAUUGUUAUAUGUGGGAUUAGAAUUUCAACGUAUAUUUAUAUUCCUUUUUAACUUUAAUUUUAUUCCUCGAGAAUCACACCGUUACAAUUUUCCAUCUUAUCACCUAACAUAGCAUUUCAUCUACCCAUUGGAAAUUCGUGAGCAUUUUUUUUAAAGUUCGAUUUUAAUUUGAUAAAGAGUUAUCAAUACAGAUUGUGGUAUAGUAGUUGAACCGUUUCAUCCUUAAUCAGAAGUCUUAAAUUUGAGCCCUAGAUAUAUAGAGAAUUAGAUCUUUUUGGAAGCAUCACCGCUAUAAUGGAUCAUGCAAUGCGCAAUCUGAAUCUAGUAGGGGCUCCAAUGUGUACACAAGAUACUGGACAUGGGAUCAGAGGUGGAUCCACCUAUAAAUGUGGGUGCACGUGCACCCAUUACUUCGAAAAAAAUCUUGUGUAUAUAUGUAUAUUUAUCUUGAGAAUUGACAGAAACUAAGAUAUAAUUAAUUGUACACCUAUGAGGAGCAUAUGAAUCCCCUUGUGCUGUUGGUACAAGCCAAAGGAAUCAUUGGUAAGACCAGUGUUUGAAUCUGGCUAAAGUAAUAUUGGUGCACCCGAAACCUUCAAAUCCUGAUUUCGCCUCUGCAUGGAAUGAAAAACAAAAAUAGAAAUAAAAAUUAACUUGACUUAUAGUUAAUGCAUGCAUUAUUUUUGCUGAUACAUUUUACCAAACGAUCCCUUAGAGUUUAAAUAAAUAAGGAAUGACUUUUGAUUCGUGUAGUCUAGACUUUAAGAUAUGUAGAAUAUAACAAAUUGCUCUUUAAUGUUGCAAUGUUAAAUAUGUCAUGUGAAAAAUUGAAAUUAUAGAUAACUACAAAUGCAAAAAAAUAUUCUUUUUUAAAAAAAAGAAAAAACAGAUCAAAAACGAAAAACAGAAUAAACAAGUUGAAACAGAUAGAAAGAGUACUACGACGUACAUAGUUUUGUUUACCCAACAUAUAUAAUAGCCAAAAAUAUCUCAAAUUAAUUUAAUAUUCUCAUUUUAAUAGAACUUACUAAUUCGAUUAAUUUGAAUUUCGUGUAUAUACAAUAUUCUCUAAGGGGCUUUAGUACUCCAACACUCCCCGCUAAUUUGCUAAAGACGAUUUUAUUCUUAUGACUUUUUAAGUUCUUUUGAACUUAAGGAAAAAACUAAAAUUGAUUAGUCACAUACAUAUAACUCGAUUAAUUUAUAUAAUUGAUGUAUUUAUUGAAUUUGUUGAUUCCAUUUUACUAAAGUGCCUUUCAUGAAAAAGCAUGCAUGUGGAUCACAAAAUUCCACAAAGAAAGGAGAUUGAUUUGAAAUCUCCUCACUAAGAUCUUGUCUAAAAUAAUUGUAUAAUUCUUUAAUUAAUUAAUUUUUUUUAAAAAAGAAACAUAAUUAAUGGAUAUGGCCAGCCUAAAAGGAAACAAAUCUGAUCAUAGUGAGUGUUUUUUUUCAUGAAAUUAAUAAACAAAGUUUUGAAAAUUUCACAAAUCGACAAUAAUAAGUACAAAAAAGAAGAAGCAUAUAAAGUGUUUGGAUUAUAAUAGAUUCGAUAAUAUUUUUUCCCAUGUCCUAUGUUUAUAUAUUUGACUGAGUUUUGUCAAUUUCCCUAAUAAUGAAAUUUGUAUGUUGUCAAAGACCAGAUCAUCCUUUCCAUUUUUUUCCACCUGAUAUUUGAUAUCUUUGAUCAAUUUGAAUUUAUGCUACGUAAAGUUUAUUAAAAAAAGGAAAAAGCACGUCAGCAUAUAUAGGCACUUUGAAUUUCUUUGGAAAUUUUCAAUGUAGCAUGUGUCUGAAAUCUAGUUAGCUACUUACUACUUUAAUUGAAAAUAAAAAUAAAAUGAAAUUCAAAUUGUUGGAGAAAAGGAAUCGCGCUAGUCGAAAUUUAGGAAAAGAUAGAGAGAUCUUGAAGCUCUUCUAAUCAAAUUGAGAGUUCGCUUUGUCAAUCCAUGAAUAUAUUGCACCCAACACUUCGAGGAGUUGACCUGAUACAAGUCAAAAUCCUAUCUCGAAAAAGUUAGGAUUUUUGGAUAAAUUCUAUACCAAAAUUUAUUUAAUUUUUAAAUCUUAAAUUCGAAUUUUUAAUUAAUUAAGAAUGAAAUGAUCGUAUAGCUUUCCUACUUUGUUCUUAAUGUGCACGCUUCCUUUUUCUUUUGUCUAUUUGUAUACUUGAUCUUGAAAUACUAACUUUUCAAAUUGGCAAUAAAAGAUGGGCUAAUUUGGAUUAUAUGCAAAAUAUUCACCCAAUGAAAAUUCAUAAUGCAGACAUCUUGAUUAAGUUUCGAUAGUAGCACAGUAAAUUUUUUAUUAAGAUGGUCACAAUAUAUAAAAAAAAAAAAAAAAAAAAGGAGAUUUAAUAUUUAGUAUGUCGAUGAUUCAUAUUUUCAUGGGUUAAAUUUAAUAUCUAACUUAGUAUGAUGAAUCAACGAGUAGAUGCAAGAUACAUAUCGAUUUAUCGAGUUACGUAUGACAUUUUUUCACAUGGAUUACACUAAUCUUCUUUGUAUCGUUACAAAUUCAAAUUAAUCGAAUUUUUAUCCGAUACCGAAUAUCGAUAUGGUGGAAAAAGGUAAAACUGAGAGACUUAAAAGGACAUUAAAAAAAGGUAAUCUUUGUGAUAUUUUGGACAAACCAAUUUCAGCUAAUUACAUGUGCAAAGAUUAGGGGAAUAUAUAGCUUUUUUGCCUUUAAUAACUUGUGAUUUCUUAGUGUUUCUUCUCAUGUUUUUGGAUCUUGAUAAUUGCUGAUGCAAUUAAUUAAUUAAUUAGUGGAUAUCCACAAAGAAAAAAGCACUGUUUAUCAAUUACGUAAUUAUCAACUUAAUUAUUUGUAGUCUUCUUCAUUGUGAUGAUCACAUAGGUGGACACAACUUUGAUGAUUUAUACUUUAGCCUAAGUGUUUGAUGAUAUGAUAACAAUUGCUUAAUUAAAGAUUAAGCACUUAAUUAAUCCAUGAUAUAUACUUCGUGUUGGGUGCAUGAACAAAAUCUCAAAUUGGUAGCGGAAAAGAAUAAGAACCUACAUAUAAUGUGUAGUUGAUAUUUUUAAUGUUGUGAGACUUUUUGAGAAAUUAAAUUGUGUGUGUUUGGCCAAAGCGAACAAUAUCAAGCCAUGUUAAAAGUAUAUUUUAUGUGUUCUAGCCCAACAAUUGAUAUUAAAAUAACCAAUGAUUCAACGAGAUGAAUUGAUAGAGUGGGCCCAACUCAGUGUCUUUUUCUGUGUACGUACAAACUAAUUUACUAUCUUUAUCCGUAGUUUUGGAGUCUUGUACGCAAAAAAGAAGCCAUGAGGUGAUCGAUGAGUAAUUUGAAACUAAAUUCAAGAAGGAAAGUUAAAAUUCUCUCCAUAUUUAACCAAAGAUAUAUCUCAAACAUUUGAGGAGAAAAUAAACUUUUUAGCUUGAAUUCGUUGGGAGCACUAUCUGACCUGAUAUAAAUCUAAAUUAGUCGGAUUCAAACUAGACUGUUAAACUGAAAAAAGACCCAUGACACGUUGAUGGUACUUUAUGAACAAUUUACACUAAUUAAUGCUACUAAUACUCUGCCUAAACAGUACUUUUUUCUAAUAAUAAUCUUUGUUUGAUAUGGAGUACAUAAUAUCUUGAACUAUUUUGGUUACUUAAUUAAAAAAGGAAAGUGUGACGAAGCAUAUAAUUAGAAUUAGUGGUCCUAAAUCGAAAAAUCAACUAGCUUUAGUGAUUAAUUAUUUGUUAAGUAGACUAAUUAAUUAUAUAUUAGUGAACUAGUGCUUCCAUGGUGGGAAAGUAGAAGGGCAAUGUGAAAGUGAAAAACAUAACGAAGUUUGAAAAUGACCAAAUUGUCCUUUUUGUUUAGUCCAUGAUAAAUCACAUUUAUAAUUAAUAAUACCUCCUAUACAUGAUAGAUAUAUUUCAAGAAAGUGACUUAAAUUGUUCAAGAUCAUAUAAGGAUAAAAGGAGACAAUAUAUCCCAUCAACUAUCGAUAUAUGUGGAAUAUACGACACCCCUCGCUCCCUCCCUGUGUAUACCCAUGAUUGAACAUUGAGUAAUUUAUGAAUUGGGGUAGAUCUGAUUCUAAUAUCAUGUGUAGAAUUGGACCGACCUAAUUAGGCCUAAUUCAUUAUGAAGAGUUAGCUCAUGAUGUGAGUGAUAUUGAUCAUGAAUCAAAUAAUAUUAUCCAUCAGUGUGAUUUUUUUUUCACUUUCGCAAUACGUUUUUGUUGUGAGGUGUAUAGGCAUACAAUAUACUUUGUAAGCAGCUAGCUCGAAUACCCUGAAUUCUGAAAAGCACAGAGUCUGAACGCUAUGUUAAAUAUACAAUUGAAAUUACACUACAUAAGUAUUUGUGUAAAUGAGGCAACAAUUGAUCAUAAAACCUAUGAGAGUAUUUAGAUGAUCUAAAUUUAACGACCGAACAUACUGCAACAUCAGAAUCCCUACGUAGCCCCCCUCAAAUGUCGAUUUUCAAUUUUUACAAAGUUCAAUUGUCAAAUUACUAUUUAUAUAAUUAAUACUAAACUUCAAUCCUUAAAAUAUUAUUUAUGACACCUGCUGAAGAGUCUCACAUCAUAGGACAAAGAGAUCAUGAAUUAUCUCUUUAUAUAGUACUAGACAGUCAUUUUCUUACAAAUUAACUUUCAAAAUUGAGUUAGCUCCACGUUAAAUUCUUUAACAACAUCACAUGGACUAAAAUACCCCUAUGUUGAACCUGAAAAACCCAAGUUGCAAUGUCCAUUAUUAAGAAAGAAGCCAAAGGCAGGUAAAAAGGAUGAAGUGGAGCACAAAAAGACCACAUAAUAUAAUAUGGAUAUCUAAUCAUACAAACCAAAUGUUGCAACCCUAGAAUAACACUAUGUUAAAGGACAUCAUGACCUUAUAAUAUAAAAGCCACAAAUUUUAUAAAAAAAACAAACAUUGGUGGGUUACUUCUUUUUUAGUCGACAUAGUUACAUGAUGAAAACAUUGAGUGCACUGCAAAAGUUUCAUCUUUUGACUAGGUUUCUUGUAUGAUUGAAAUCAAAUGUGACAAUCAUUUGUUUUCUAAUCGAUGAAAGAUGUUUCAGAUCUGAAUCUUGAUAUAAAAUCAUUUUGAUUAGGUAGUGCUUUAUGUAAUAUGAAAUUUUUGUUGCGUAACUUCAAAUUUAAUCAUAUUCUAAUACAGAUAUUGACACCGAGUCAUGAGGAGAAAACAAGCACAUAUUUGUCAUUCCUUUUUUUUUUUUUUUGGGUAUUAUUUGAACUUUGAUUUUGUUUGUAGGAAGGAGUGGAAAGAUAAAAGCUGACCCUUUGGGUUUCCAAUGUUUGCAUUUUUAAAGACAAUUUCCAAGAGGUAGGAACACCUAUAUUGAUCUUAGUUUUUUUUUAAAAAAAAAAUUCUUCUACUUUUUAAUAAUAUAAUUUGUAUAUGUUGUUAUUUUUUUUUUUAUGUUAUCAACAUAUUUUAGUUAUAUGUUACUAGUAUAACAAGUUAUUAUUCCAAGAAUUAAGAAUAAUUGUAAUUAUCUUUCGAUUGAUCUAAUAAAAUAUUUUUUUAUACAUUUGAUUGAAUGUAUUUUUUUCAUAUGGUCGAUGUAUAAAAGUAAAACUCUUUCUAUUUUCAUUUUAUUUUCCAUAUUACUAUGGGGUACAAAGUAUCCACUAUAUAACUUUUAGCUUUCAUCAACUAGCCACUAGGCAUCAUGCAUAUGGUGGCUAUGGUUGCAAAAGGGCUCCAACUUGUUAUGUGUUGUAUUUAUUUUAAUUUUUUGGUUUUGUCUUUUCCUCAGGUGAAAUUGAUAACAAUGUUAAAAGUAUAUCACUCCCUACGAAAGACUAAUUCGAGAAGUCGAAUCCAAACAUCUGAUUAAGGAUGAAAGAUAGUACUUACCACUACACCAUAAUCUUUAAUGGUCUGUUUGGUGUUUCAACUACAUACCUCAUUACACUUCCACUUAUUGAUACCUAUUGUAAUGAUAACUCAUUUAUAUCGUCAUAAUCUUCUAUUGAAUUUUUCCGAGUAUUAAUAUUUAAUUUUCAAAGUAUAGUAAAUAUGAAUAAUUUAGUAAAAUAAAUAUUUAAUUAAUGUUUUUAAAACAAAGAGAAGUGCAAAAUGUAUAUGGUAAAAAUAAAGGGAACGAAGAGUUUAUUAAAGAAAUUAAUAAUCUUAAUCUUUACUUUUUCAAAUUGAAGAGGUAAAUCACUUUUAAGAUCCCAAAGAAAAACUUUAAAUUUUAAGUAAUAAUUGGUAUUAAGCCAAAUAACUUUUACAUAAACAUCCAAAAUAAUAAAAGUCGCUAUCUUUCUUUCAUUUGUAAUUAUUUUAUUUAUUUAUUUUUACAUAUAAAUGGACAAUUAGAAAACGUUUAUUCUCCAUACUUUGAAUAAACCCUUUUGCUUUUGUAAAUGUUUUUUUAGGUACCGAAAGUUUGAAAUAUUGGUAUAUUAUUCCUAAGAAACCUUUUUUUUUUAGAUCAAAGUUGACAUACCAAGAGAUGGACAUUUAGUUCAAUGUGCCCUAUAUACUUUUUCUUUAUAAAGUUUUUGUUAAAUUAUUUUUCUUAGUAUUUAGUAAUUAGCGGGGAAUUGAGCAAAGGCCGAACCACAAGGGUCUAUCGUAUAUAAUCGUACAUCAUAUAUAUAUAUUUCUGUAAGAAUCUAUUUUCACAACUUGAGCCUGUGACCUUUUGCUCAUACGACAAUAACUUACUUGUUACAUUAAAGUACCCUUGUUAAUUCAAUGAGCCCUAUGUACUUCUUCUUUAUAAAUUUAUGUUUAACUGUUUUUCUUAAUAUCCAAUAAUUAGCGGAAUACUGAAAAAGGAUCGAAUCAUAAUGUUCUAGUUUACAUAGUCUUGUCUUGCAUGUAUCUCAUAUUUUCAGAGCCUGUGAUCUUCUGAUCACAAAACAACAACUUAACAGUUACGUCAAACAACCCUUCUUAAUAAUCAUAAUCAUAUUCUACUUUUAAAAAAAACUGUUUUUUUUCCUCAAAGAAUUUCACUUUUUUUAAUUAGUAUUUUUUUCAAAAACAUAAUGAUGUCCACUUUUGAAUCAAUGUAUUUUUCUUUUAUUAAUCAUGCAAGAGGACUCAUUGAGUGCCCAAGAGAAUUAAUUAAAAAAAAGAAAAAGAGUAUUAAUUGACUGGCCUAUAAUGUGACAAAGAUCAUAAAUUGUUUUUUCAAUAAUUUGAAAAUUUUAGGAAGUUAAAGGUUUUCUUGAGAAGAUGGGAAAAUCCUUCUUUUUAAGUACAUACGUGAGCCAUGCAUGAUCAAUUAUAUGCCUUUUUAAACUAUAUUCAACUUAAUAAUUAUUAUACUUUUUUUUAUACUUGGACCAAAAUAGUGAUUUUGCUAGAACAAGACCUUUUUUUUUAAUUCAACGAGAAGAGAUUUGACAAGACGGAGUUGAAAUAGCAGUUUCUUUCAUGGCUCACACUCGUGACUAUUCAUACAUAACUUUACCAUUGCUUCAAGGUUUCUGUUUUCUCUGGCGAGGAUUUAGAUAUGGAUUAUUUUAACCUCUUAAGGCCUUAAUAUCAUGAAAGAUUUUCUUAUUGUAUUGUAUUGUAAAUACACCUCUAUAUUUAUAUUUAUAAACCAAGUCAGAGUUCUAGACUAAGUCACGUAAUGAGAAUAACAAUUCUAUGCAAACUAAGCCAUAAAUAAAUAAAGUCAAUUCAUAUUAGAUAAAUGAGUUGCUCGAAUAAUAAACAUUUUCGUUUUUCAUUCUAAUUCUUGAGUCAUUAAUUUGAGUAGUCUUAUUAUCCUUAUAGGUAGUGGUUAUUUUUUUCACAACAUGUACGUUGCUACUUUAAUUUUUUAAAGAACUUUAUGUUAUUUUAUUUUAUUUUUCAGUCAAAAGGCAAUGUCACCAGACACCAAUUGUCCAAUUCAAUUGUGUGUUGAAUGGUGUAAUUGAUAUUGUUACGUUAGAGAUUUAUAACUUUCUCGGUUCUCUACGUACUGCAUUAUGUCACUAUCUUAAUUUAUAUGAUAUUAUUUAAUUGAAUACGGACUUAGAAAAGAAAAGAUGACUUUUUAAAGUUAUGAAACUCGUUAACCUUUAUUUUGUCUUUCAGAAAUUCUCCAAGACUCUCUUAGUAAUUUUAAUCGGAAGCAAAAAGGAGUAAGGAAUGUUGGCGAAGAAGAACAAAUUAACAACCAACAUGAAUCGUGAUUGGAUGAUUGAAAAUUAAUCCACCAUUAAUCAAUUAUCUCAAAUUUGGAAUAUAUGAAGAAUUUAUUAGAUUUCAAUACAGAUAUCGAAUACUGGAUGGAAAAAUACAAAAAAAACAAAACUACUAUCGUUUUCUUCCUCUUUUAAUCCUAAGCCAUGUCUCUUUCUAUCUCUUUUUUAAUUUCUUUUUGAUGACCUCACUUAUGUAAUAUAAAAAAAAAUAAACACCGUUUAAUUUAAACUAGAAUACUAAAAAGAAAAAGUCGACAUAUAUCUUUUUCCUUUAGUUUUUUUUUUUCUUUCCAUUUUUUAUUUUUAUUUUCUCCAAGAGUGAACGGAAAUAAUAAUUACUCUUACUCAACUUUCUAUAUUUUUCUAAUAUAUGUAUAUAAUAAUAAAAUAAAAUAACAAAGAAGCUUCUCGAAUCCUUUGUAAUGUUUUCGUUCUACUUGAUAAAUAAAUAUAUUAAAUUAAUUUUCAAUCAAAUAUAACGAUGUUUAAAAUUUAUACUACUCAAAAUGCUAAUACAUAUAACUAUAGUUCAAUUAUUAUUUUUACGUGUUCUUCAUGAACAUCUCUUUCUAACCCUAAGGACAAAUGAAAACUAUCAUUUUCCUCCCUCUUUUUAUCCCUAACUAUGACAAGUCUUUUUCUAUAUCUUCUAUUUCUUUUUGAAGACCUCAUCUCUCCAUCUUAAAGUUUUUCCCUUUUAUUAUUAUCAUAGUAUUUUGUUCUUCGAUUUUUGUUAUUAUCUGUUUCCUUUUUUAUUUUACUGUUGUUAUUGUUACUUUUUUGUUGUUGCUAAGUGUUAUAUAUAAUUCUUUCAAACUGCUUCGAUAUGUGUUAUUUGAGUUGAUGGUCUUUUGAAAAGCAGUUUUUCUAGAGUCAACAAUAUAUAGAAGUAAGGUUUGAGUAUACUAUACUCUCUUCAGAUUCCGCUUAUAAAAUUUUACUAGUUAUGUUAUUGUUUGUAAGCCGAAAUAACAAGAAUCGAAACACUGAUAUUUUCCAAUUAAGUUCUAUUUAUCCUAAAACUUGUCUUAUCAUAAUUAAUCGAAACAUAAAUCAUAAUUUUACUUUAAAUAGAUCCACAAAGUAUGUACGUACGUUUUCUUCUUUUCUAUAUAAGAGAAGAUAAUGAUAUACCCUCCGAUGAUUUUUGAAUCUUGUGGUCAUAAAUUAAAAUUAUGUCAAAUGUACAAAAUUGCCAUUUAAUCUUGUGGUCUUAAACAUGCCACGUGAAAAAUUGAAAUUAAAAUGUUAUCAAAAAAGAAAGAGGUCAUUCUUUUUGAAACAGACUAAAAAAAAGGAGGUCAUUCUUUUUCAAAUGGAUGGAUUAUAUAGUUUUCAAUUUCCAUUUUCAAAAGCAUCCAAAGGAUAACAACUAUAGUGGGAAUUAAAAAAUGUACAAUAAUUGGCGAUGAAUAAUUGAGUCGGUUGAUUCAGCUUCAAAAAUUAAUUAAAUCAAUUUUCAAGAAAGAAGAAAAACGACAUUUAUUUUAGAACAAAAAACAAAAUCAAUUUUCAACUCAUGCUUAUUUUAUAGCAUGGGCUCCAACUUUCAACCCCUGCAAACUUUAAUGCUCGGGCUCCACUUUUAACUCAUGUAUCUUUACUUUUAACGCAUGAGCUCCACUUUAACUCAUGCAUCUUACUUUUAACGCAUGAGCUCCACUUUAACUCAUGCAUCUUACUUUUAACGCAUGAGCUCCACUUUUAACUCAUGCAUCUUACUUUUAACGCAUGAGCUCCACUUUUAACUCAUGCAUCUUACUUUUAACGCAUGAGCUCCACUUUUAACUCAUGCAUCUUACUUUUAACGCAUGAGCUCCACUUUUAACUCAUGCAUCUUACUUUUAACGCAUGAGCUCCACUUUUAACUCAUGCAUCUUACUUUUAACGCAUGAGCUCCACUUUUAACUCAUGCAUCUUACUUUUAACGCAUGAGCUCCACUUUUAACUCAUGCAUCUUACUUUUAACGCAUGAGCUCCACUUUUAACUCAUGCAUCUUACUUUUAACGCAUGAGCUCCACUUUUAACUCAUGCAUCUUACUUUUAACGCAUGAGCUCCACUUUUAACUCAUGCAUCUUACUUUUAACGCAUGAGCUCCACUUUUAACUCAUGCAUCUUACUUUUAACGCAUGAGCUCCACUUUUAACUCAUGCAUCUUACUUUUAACGCAUGAGCUCCACUUUUAACUCAUGCAUCUUACUUUUAACGCAUGAGCUCCACUUUCAACCCUGUUCAUCACUUUUAACACAGGGCUCCAAGUUUUAACCCAGAUCAAUUUUAAAUCAUGGUAAACAACAGUGAUACAUGAAGAUUGUGUGAAAAAAGAGGAUCAAAAUUAUUAUGCUAGAAAAUUCAUGCCAAAAGGGGAGAUUUGUUAGGGUUUUGUCCUGAUUUUCUUACCAUAAUUUAAGAUUUAUUUUCCUUAAAGAAAAAACAAAACAUUACCAUAAAUGUUUUACUUUUCUUGAAAGGAAAAUAUAAUAUUAUUUUAUAUUUGGUUUAUUCUCUCCUUUUAGGACUCCUUUUCUAGUAGGAAAGGUUUUAGGACUCUAUAAAUAUAGGUUUGUUUCUUCUAACACAAAAAACAAUAACAUCCACAAUGUAGUCGUUUAAGAGUCUUAUUUAUGGGGAGAUUUAUUCUCUCUAAAGUUUCAAUGUUUUUCUUUAUAUUAGUUUUGAUAUAAUAAUAUUUUAAUUUUUAGUAUAAGUUUUUGUUAUCUGAUUUAUCAACCAUAUGAUUUGCAAAUUGCAAGCUUCCGCAUGACGCCUUAAUCACCCUUUCGAACCCAACACAAAGAGGAUAUCAAUACGAUAAGAACUUUCAAGUAGUAUUUAUUAUCUUAAAUUAAAAAUAUAUAUAUAUAUGAAGUAGAUGUUGAGAAUUAGAGAACAUUUGUUAUUUAUACAAAAUUCUCAAGGUUAAAAGAGUAAAAUGCUCUAAACAUAUAUGUAAUAUCAAAAUUGCUCUACACAUAUUCUUUUACAUGUAAUUUAAUUUAAAAAUUAAGACUUUGGUGCUUCUCUAGUUAACAUGGGAAAACUAAAUACUGGAGCUGCUGAUAUUAUUUUUUCACCAUUUUUUUGCAUUUCUAUAUCAUUAAUUACUAUAAUCAUCAUUUGAUUAUUUCCAUUAAUGCCCUUCACUGCUUCAAUAAUUAUUGAUUCUUCAAUUUCAUUUUCUUUGUACUCCUUGUAUUUUCCCCAUAGAACAAAGUAUAGCCCUGCCACUAUCACCAAUGCACCAACAAUUCUGAAAUAAAAAUAAAAAAUAAAAAAUUAGUCGAUGUAAUAUAUAUCGAGAGAAGAAAACAAGUUAAUUUCUCAUAUAAUCAUCUAACUAAACAAUUAUUAUCUCAAAAAGUCAUAUUUCUUAAUAAAAAAAUAACUUUUUGCUAUACCAAAAAUUGAUUGAUACAAAAAGAUAAAAUGUUUUGGUGGGGGUGGAGGUGGGGAGGGGCAGUUGCAUAGUAGCUUAGGCUGGUUAGUGGAACAUUCUUUGGUCGAAAAAUUAUAUUAAAAUAUAUAAAUUAAAAGUUAUAUUUUAUACGUAUAUAUUGUAUAUUAAAUAUUUUUAACGAAAUUUUUGACUUGACGACUCGUGAUUGAGAUAGUGGACUUACCCUCCAAUAUAGAAUUUUUCAGCAAGAAUGAAAGAGCCCAUAAUGGCAACAAUGAUCAUCAUGAGUGGACUAAAAGCUGUCACAAAAACAGGUCCUUUUUUCUCCAUUACUUGACCAUGUACAUAGUAUGCUAUGCUUGAUGACACAAUUCCCUGAAAUUUUGUGGAAAAAAAAACUUUGGUUAUUUAUCAUUAUCGAAAGGUGAUUAGACGGGACAUGAUAUUAUAUAGCUUAUUGAUAACAUGAUCCUAAAUAAGAAGAGAUGAAGAUCGAGGACUAGGACAGAAGGUUAGUAGAUAAUCGAGGUUGUUUAGUUUCCCUUAGUAGUAUUAUUAAUAAUUCUACUAUUAUCUUAUUUUUCGAAUUCUUUCUUUGUUUAUUACAUUAUUUGUGGUUAUUAUUUUUUUCUCCAUUAUUUUCGAUAUGUUUUAUAUAGAAAAAUACUAAAUCACCUUUACCAGAAAAUUAGCAAGGGGCGCCACAUGAAACCACCUUUGUCAGAAAACUAUAUUAUAUAUAUAAGGUCAAAAUUAUUUUCUAUUUAUAUAUCAUAUAUGUUGAUUCUCCUUAGUUUUUUUUUCUUAUUUUUACUUUCUUAUAUUCUAAAUUUAUUUAACUGAAAAUUCUAACUCUGCAACUGGACUUACGACAAGUGUCAAAGAAAAAGGGUAAAAAAGGAAAAGAACUUACAGCAUAGGCAGCAGCAAGAAGGUUCAUGUCAAAACCAAUAGCCCAAACAGAAGUUUUGUGUUCCAUUACAAAUGUUAAAGCCAUAGAUUGCAAAGUUCCCAUGAAGCAAACAAGUGCAAUUAAAGAUAAUGGAGCUGUAUAUUUUCUCAUUGUAAUAGCCUGUAUAACAAAAAUAAAAAAUUAGUCUUAAUAUUAAUUAAUCACCAUUUCUUGAAUAUUCAUGAAAAAGAAAUAAAAUUAAGUUUUAGCUUUCGUUUGAUCAUAGAUCCUAAGUUUGAAACUUAAAACUGAAAAGUUUGUUUCUCGGAGUCUAAAAAUUGUUAAAAUCUAUGAUCAAACGUUAGCUGAUUGUUUAACAUACCUGAAGAAUAAAGAAAGAAGCCCAAGCAAGUGUAGCAAAAAUGAGGAGAAUUGAGCCUUUUAGCCACUCUUUAUCAUAAGUUCCACUAAUUUGAUUUGACCAAAUUAAAUUAACAAUUUGGCCUUUGUACAAUGUCAUUAAUAUGGCACCACCCAUAGUUACUAUAGUCCCCAACACCUUUGCUUGGCUUCCAAUUUUCUUCAAAUUCACCUUCUCCAUUCUGAAAAAAAAAACAUUACUAACUACUCCAAAAUUUAGAAAAAAAAAAGUUGAUCUGAACGUCACAGUUAUAUUACGUACCUACAUAGGACUGCUAUGACAAAUGUCAUAGCAGGUAACAUGUUGCUUAUAGCACAUGAAAAUGUUGGAGAUGUCAAUUUAAGCCCAGCAUAGUAAAAAUUUUGAUCAAUCAAUGGCCCUAGAAGACCCAAUACAAAUAUUUGCAAGAACAUCAUGAAUGUCAUCUUUGGCCUAAUUUUCCUAUCAACCAAAAAAAAAAAUUGAGUUAUUUUGAUAUAUUUAUAUCGUAUUUUUAUUAUUAUUUUUUACACGAUCAGUAUAGUUUAACAUAUAACGCGAGUAAUUUUACCUUUCAAGUAAAAGAGCAAAGGGAGCAAUAAUUGCAGCAGCAAAGGCAUUUCUAUAGACAACAAGAACAUAAUGACUCAUGCCUCUAUUAAGUGAAACUUUGGUUAUAAUAUUCAUUCCUGCAUAACCAAAUUGUAAAGAAAUCAUGGCUAUAUAAGGUUUUGAUCUUUGAAAAAAAUUGCAAUUACAUUCCCCCUCCAUUUUUUUUUCUAAAUUUUGAAGAAAAAAAAAUUGAUAAGAAGGGAGGAAAAUAAAAACUCUAAGUUUUUAGAGGAGAUUUUUAUGUU